rnacentral:sRNA from 1 species
AAUAAGUAAAGUAAGUCAAUGAAACAAGUAAAGUUAGUCAAUGAAACAAGUAGAGUAGGUCAAUGAAAUAAGUAGAGUAAGUCAAUGAAACAAGUAGAGUAAGUCAAUGAAACAAGUAAAGUAAGUCAAUGAAACCAGUAGAGUCAGUCAAUGAAACAAGUAGAGUAGGUCAAUGAAACAAGUAGAGUAAGUCAAUGAAACAAGUAGAGUUAGUCAAUGAAACCAGUAGAGUUAGUCAAUGAAACAAGUAGAGUCAGUCAAUGAAACAAGUAAAGUAAGUCAAUGAAACAAGUAGAGUUAGUCAAUGAAACAAGUA